rnacentral:tRNA from 1 species
GAAUCGGUGGUUCAGUGGUAAAAUGCUCGCCUGCCAAGCGGGGCGACCCGGGUUCGAUUCCCGGCCGAUGCA